rnacentral:lncRNA from 1 species
CUUCCAUAAGGGAAGGUUCUCUACCUGGGGUUUCUUCCUUUUGGAGUGUUUAGUAAGGCCCUGAUCCUUAGGAUAGAAGAAAGACCUUUGGAAUACAGCAUGUACGCAUUUGCUCCCACCUUUCCCUCCCAAGUUUUUCCAUUAUCAGCAGAGUAAUCGCUGACCCAACACGUUAACUCAAGAAGCACCAAAGAGCAAAAAUCUUACUGGAGAAGGAUAAUUGCAACGACUCUCCAAGGGCUCACUGUUCUUCCACCCAUCAGUAGAUGCAGUGCUGAGGAGAUAAGGCUUAUAUUACAGAACAGCUAAUCAAUGGAAACAUUGUGCUGGCAUCUGUGGGUAAAAUCUAGACCUUGAUGUUGACACCUUUCAAAUAUUUAU